rnacentral:rRNA from 1 species
CUAAUUCCGUGCCAGCAGCCGCGGUAAUACGGGAGUGGCAAGCGUUAUCCGGAAUUAUUGGGCGUAAAGCGUCCGCAGGCGGCCCUUCAAGUCUGCUGUUAAAAAGUGGAGCUUAACUCCAUCAUGGCAGUGGAAACUGUUGGGCUUGAGUGUGGUAGGGGCAGAGGGAAUUCCCGGUGUAGCGGUGAAAUGCGUAGAUAUCGGGAAGAACACCAGUGGCGAAGGCGCUCUGCUGGGCCAUCACUGACGCUCAUGGACGAAAGCCAGGGGAGCGAAAGGGAUUAGAUACC